AGUCGAGCGAUGACGAGAAGCUUGCUUCUCUGAUUUAGCGGCGGACGGGUGAGUAACACGUGGGCAACCUGCCCUACAGAUUGGGAUAACUCAGGGAAACCUGGGCUAAUACCGAAUAAUCCUUCGAAUCACAUGUUUUGAAGUUGAAAGGCGCUUCGGCGUCACUGUAGGAUGGGCCCGCGGUGCAUUAGCUAGUUGGUGGGGUAACGGCCUACCAAGGCAACGAUGCAUAGCCGACCUGAGAGGGUGAUCGGCCACAUUGGGACUGAGACACGGCCCAAACUCCUACGGGAGGCAGCAGUAGGGAAUCUUCCACAAUGGACGAAAGUCUGAUGGAGCAACGCCGCGUGAGUGAUGAAGGUUUUCGGAUCGUAAAACUCUGUUGUAAGGGAAGAACAAGUACGUUAGGAAAUGAACGUACCUUGACGGUACCUUAUUAGAAAGCCACGGCUAACUACGUGCCAGCAGCCGCGGUAAUACGUAGGUGGCAAGCGUUGUCCGGAUUUAUUGGGCGUAAAGCGCGCGCAGGUGGUUUCUUAAGUCUGAUGUGAAAGCCCACGGCUCAACCGUGGAGGGUCAUUGGAAACUGGGGAACUUGAGUGCAGAAGAGGAUAGUGGAAUUCCAAGUGUAGCGGUGAAAUGCGUAGAGAUUUGGAGGAACACCAGUGGCGAAAGGCGACUGUCUGGUCUGUAACUGACACUGAGGCGCGAAAGCGUGGGGAGCAAACAGGAUUAGAUACCCUGGUAGUCCACGCCGUAAAACGAUGAGUGCCUAGUGUUUAGGGGGUUUCCGCCCCUUA
rnacentral:rRNA from 1 species